rnacentral:rRNA from 1 species
AGUGGACGCUGGCGGUAGGCCUAACACAUGCAAGUCGAACGGCAGCACAGUAAGAGCUUGCUCUUACGGGUGGCGAGUGGCGGACGGGUGAGGAAUACAUCGGAAUCUACUUUUUCGUGGGGGAUAACGUAGGGAAACUUACGCUAAUACCGCAUACGACCUACGGGUGAAAGCAGGGGAUCUUCGGACCUUGCGCGAUUGAAUGAGCCGAUGUCGGAUUAGCUAGUUGGCGGGGUAAAGGCCCACCAAGGCGACGAUCCGUAGCUGGUCUGAGAGGAUGAUCAGCCACACUGGAACUGAGACACGGUCCAGACUCCUACGGGAGGCAGCAGUGGGGAAUAUUGGACAAUGGGCGCAAGCCUGGUCCAGCCAUACCGCGUGGGUGAAGAAGGCCUUCGGGUUGUAAAGCCCUUUUGUUGGGAAAGAAAAGCAGCAGGUUAAUACCCCGCUGUUCUGACGGUACCCAAAGAAUAAGCACCGGCUAACUUCGU